ensembl:lncRNA
CGGGGAGCCCCAGCCGCUCAACCCUCGGCCCCGCCCGCCGCCCUGCCCGCGCCUGAACUUUGGCCCUGGGGCCGCUGACACCCGAGGGAGUCUGAGAGCGAUGACGUCUCCGCCGGUUUCAGCUGCACAACAGGAAAUGCUCCGGGCCUCCCCCUUCCUGCCCGGAGAAAGUGGGGCUCGCCGCUCCCGGGCCAGCCGAGACCCAGUUUCGGGCCGCGGCCCCGGCACCCGCAGAGCACCCAGGGGAGCAGAGGCUCGGGCCGGGCGUGGGAGGCGCGGGGACCCCGAAACCCGCCGGCUUGCUGAAUAAUGCUGACCUCAGAGGGCCGGGCGAUUUCUCUGCCUCGCACGAUGUUCAGCCUCUGCUCACAGAGCCCUGCUAGGAAACCUGCUUUAACCCCGCGUCUCGCUGCCACCUCCUUACUCUGUUGUGCAAACAUAGCUGUGUGUUUAGUGCACAAUACAACGCCCUGCACUCAAACCUCCAAGACGGAAUUCUUACCAGAAAAGCCUCGAAGUAGUCACGAUUUGAGUCGUUAUUUAGAUCAGGAGUGGAUUUAAUUGAGAUGGAUUAAAAGGCACUGGCUAUACCUGCUGUGCCUAAGGAGAGCUUGCCAGGGCUGCGGCUUCCACAGUGAUCCCCAGAGCAGAAGGUCCCCGUGUUUGGUUCAAUGCUCUUCUGUACCUGUCUUGAACUUUUAUGUUUUUAAAUAAGGGGCCUUACAUUUUCACUUUGCAUUAGGCCCAUUUUGCAUUAGGCAAAUCGUAGUGUUCAAUAAGUAUUUGUGACAAAAUGAGUGUUUGCAUGUAGAUUUUAGAAAUUGAUGUUCAUCUCCUGAAAGCGCUGAUCUAAUUGUGAGGUUUCUGUGUCUCACUGAGGUGCAGACAAAUGAAACGCAGGCUGUUUGGGAUCCCUAUAGAAAAGCUUCUCAGCUAGAAUAUUACUUGGUAUGGCAUAUGAAUAGUCUUAAGAAAAGAUAGUCUUCUCUUAGGUGUUCAUACAGUCUCUUGGUUGGAUGGAACUAAGUAAAAAUGCUCAUAGCCUGUAGGAGAUCAUCACUACCAUGAUUAUAACUGUUACACAUAGCAUUAAUGUGCUACUUUAUUCUUAAUAUUCUCAGUUACACUUUGUUCAUGUUUGUUCAAUCGUUAAUAAGUAUUCAAUUAUGAAAUAUUUCUCCCUAUUGUUUGUUGUACUGAUACAAUGAACAAUAGCUGAUUUAUUACUAAUUAUUAAUUUAUUGAUAAUGUUAGAUAUUGGGUAGGGUUUACAGAAAAUCAGUUUUGUUUUCUCGAGGAUGCUAUAUAUUUAUGUGCUCAUGCAUGGACAAAAUAAUUUUUAAAAUCUGUCUUUAAAAGGUAUAAGACCCAUAAUUCUCGUGGAGAGCCACUUCUAUUGCUUCAUCACAUUUGCAGCAGAUGAAGAGAGGGUGGUCAGGAGUGUAGGUUUCAGAGGUGGCCUGCUGAAGUUUGAACAUCGCUGUGGUCACUUUCUAUAAAUAGACUAAAAAAGAUUAAAUAGAUUGCAUAAAUGCAGUCUUGAACAAGCUAUGCUUUUUCUCUUAGCCUUGGUUUCCUCAUUUGUAAAAGAAGCGUAACUUCUGAGCAAGACAUUAAGAGGAUUUAAAUGAAUCCAAGUAUUUGGUCCUUAGUAAACAUUUAGUAAAUUGUAGUAAGGGGAAAAGAAGCUUAGGCCAUUGUGGUUCUUAUUAUUUUAAAAUUUAAAAAGACUACUUACUUGAUUUUUAUUUGUGCCAUUUAAAUUUAUUCAACACUGAACGCAUAGCUGCUACCCUCAGAGACAUCAGUGAAGGAGGCCACUAUAAGUCCAGUUAGGAAGUUGUAGGAUAAAGGCUAAAGCAAAGGGAAGCAGGAGGUAGGUGGCAAGGAGCCUUGGAGAAGUGAAGGGAACAUUUCCUCAGCUGUCCUUGCAGGGAUCCAGAGCCUUCCAGAGUGGCUGGGUGAGGUUUUGAAGAUGCAUUGGGAGUCUGGGGGAUUCUGAAUAGCUCAGUGUGGAUGAAGUUUAAAGAACAAGCAGUAGAUCAUGAUCACUGGGGGUAUGAUCUGACGCACCAUGACGACACGGACUAGAGAUACACAGGGUAACUAAGAGUCUUCCGGGAGCCAGCAGAGUCAAGAAUUUCCCUAGGAGGCUGUGAGCAUCAGUACCAAGUACUCCACAGAGACUUCAAGAAUAAAAGACCUGAAAGUGCCUGAGGAAUUGGGAGAUUGGCAUUUAUUUUUGGCAUUCAUUUUUGUCUUAUCAUUUUCUAUUUAGUGAAAUGGCUGUUUAAGCUGUGACUCCUGGUAAAUGUAGGGGAAGCAUUUAAAUCACUUGCAAGGCAGGUGGCGGCACCACUGAGCUAAAUCCCUGACCAGCCUUAUGUAUUCUUGUCACAUCAAGAUCUGGUGGAAUUUUUAAUUCAUAGUGAUGAUUUUUAAAAAUCAAGUGCCAGCCAUUUUUCUAGAACCUUUGUUUUAAUUAAUUUAUUUUCCUAUUUAUCUCACAUUCUUUAUUUUAUGAGGAAAGGUUGGUAGUCACCUUAGUUUAUAGAUGAAAAAUCUAAAAGGAAGGUUAAAUAUCUUGUCCAAGGACACACAGAGUUUCAGUUUAAGUUCAGGUGGUCUGAAUUCUAAUUUCAGAUUUCUCUUUUUCAUGACUACAUGGCUUGGCUCCUUAUUGUAGCUUAGUGUAUCUUUGGUGGAUUUAAUGGGCGAAUGAAGGACUGAAGUAGGAAAAACGAUGGUAUAAUUAUUUAUUCAGAAAAUUAAAAGAUUUUUUUCCUGUUGAUGGUAGUUACCUUUCCCCCUGCUAAGGCAAAUUUAUUCCUCUGUUACAAUAAAUAAUGUAGCAUCUAAAGAAAUAAAGCUUGGAGUAUAAGAUAUAUUGGGAAUUUAUUUCCUGGAGAAUUGCCCACUGAGUUCUCCCUUCUGCUGUGUGUCAUGGGGUGUAUUAUUUACUUUCCCGUUAUUGGCACAUAAUAUCUGAUACCAGUAACUUAAAGGAGGAGAGGUUUAUUUGGGCUCAGUUUCAGUGGGUGCAGUCCAUGGUUAACUGGCUCCAAGGCAGGAAUGGCAUGUUCUAAGAGCCUGGUGUAGGAAACUGUUCACCCUAUGGCACCCAGAAAGCCGAGAGAGAGAGAGAGAGAGAGAGAGAGAGAGAGAGAGAG